UGUGGAGCAUUGUGAGUCUGUGUGGCAGCAACCACGAAGAAAGUGAUACAGACUUGGUGGCGGAGAGCACCGACUGCCGCCAGGAUGAGGAGGCUGCAGAAUCUUGCUUUGGGAGGAAAGGAUCUUGCUGCAGGAGUCUGAGGAUAUGUUUGUCCUCUGUGAGCUUGGCUAGAAUAAUCCCAUGGUGGCCACACAACAGAGUGCACCCUGCCACUGAGCCAGACGAAGAUACUGUGGAACCUGACUCAGUACAUUCAGGCAUGAACAAUGAUUCUAGUUCAUUCAAUGUUCCAAAUUUCAGAACAAACUCUACCCAUGCUGCUGCAUGAUGCAAAUUCAAAUGAGUUAACUCGGAGUUCCCAUCGUGGCGCAGUGGUUAACGAAUCCGACUAGGAACCAUGAGGUUGCGAGUUCAAUCUCUGGCCUUGCUCGGUGGGUUAAGGAUCCGGGGUUGCCGUGAGCUGUGGUGUAAGUCGCAGAUGCGGUUCGGAUCCUGAGUUGCAGCGGCCGUGGCGUAGGCCAGCAGCUACAACUCUGAUUAGACCCCUAUCCUGGGAACCUCCAUAUGCCAGGGGAAGCGGGCCUAGAAAAGGCAAAAUGACCAAAAACCAACUAACCAAACAAAAACCAAAUUGAAUAACUCGGUAAUUUCACAACCAUGGAAAUAAGGAUUCAUUUAAACUCAACAUUUGGUUCCUGGUUAAUAGCAAAGAUGACCUCACUCAUGUUUUGACAUUUGCUGCUAUUUGACGUUUCUAGUUGUACUAGAUCCCUCCAUGGGACCACAUUUCCCAAUUUGAAAACAAUACUAGACGUGAUUUAGAACAAGAUCAUAAUAUUAACAAGACAUGGUGAGCAGAUAUUAGGGAAAGCUCCCCUAACCCAUUCCUCCAGUUUCCACCAUUGACAACGUCCAGCACUGAAUGGGGAACGUGUGGUACACUGAGCGGCAAAAGGUUCAUAUAAUUUUAAUUAAUGAAAAGUUCCCCGUUUACAUUCAGAUUCAUUUUUUGUGUUGUGACCUUAGUUGAGGUUGGACACACGCACAAUAUUAGGAGUCCCCAGGAUGUUACUAUAGAGAACGUGUACAUUCCCAUUUGUAGCAGCGGGUUAUUCCCGACAGCCAAAAGGUGAAACCAAUCCCAAGGGACAAGAAGAGAUCAGGGGAGAGAUCAAAUGCGAUAUGUACCCAGAAGAGAACAGUGUUGUACCAGAAACAAAAUUAAACUAUUAAAUAGGGUAUCACAUGGAAGAUCCAAAAUAAAACACUGUUUAACAUAAGUGAGGAGCUCCCAUCGUGAUGCGGCAGAAGUGAAUCCAACUAGGAAGCAUGAGAUUGUGGAUUCGAUCCCUGGCCUCGCUCAGUGGAGUAAGGAUCCGGUGAUGCCGGGACCUGUGCUGUAGAUCGCAGAUGUGCCUGGGAUCCUGCCUUGCUGUGGCUCUGGCAUGCGGCGGCAGCUACAGCUCCGAUGAGACCCCUAGCCUGGGAACCUCCAUAUGCCAUGGGUGUGGCCCUAU
rnacentral:lncRNA from 1 species